rnacentral:rRNA from 1 species
UGGGGAAUUUUGGACAAUGGGCGAAAGCCUGAUCCAGCAAUGCCGCGUGUGUGAAGAAGGCCUUUGGGUUGUAAAGCACUUUUGUCCGGAAAGAAAUCCUUGGCUCUAAUACAGUCGGGGGAUGACGGUACCGGAAGAAUAAGCACCGGCUAACUACGUGCCAGCAGCCGCGGUAAUACGUAGGGUGCAAGCGUUAAUCGGAAUUACUGGGCGUAAAGCGUGCGCAGGCGGUUUGCUAAGACCGAUGUGAAAUCCCCGGGCUCAACCUGGGAACUGCAUUGGUGACUGGCAGGCUAGAGUAUGGCAGAGGGGGGUAGAAUUCCACGUGUAGCAGUGAAAUGCGUAGAGAUGUGGAGGAAUACCGAUGGCGAAGGCAGCCCCCUGGGCCAAUACUGACGCUCAUGCACGAAAGCGUGGGGAGCAAACAGGAUUAGAUACCCUGGUAGUCCACGCCCCUAAACGAUGUCAACUAGUUGUUGGGGAUUCAUUUCCUUAGUAACGUAGCUAACGCGUGAAGUUGACCGCCUGGGGAGUACGGUCGCAAGAUUAAAACUCAAAUGAAUUG